CUCAACAAAGAAACCCUACGACUUCAUCGACUUCGUCUUCUCUGUUUUCUUUUCAUCAAAACUCCUUUACAGAGCUUCAUCUGCUCUCAAUCAAUGGUGAUCUUCAAUACAGUUUAAUUGGAUUCGUUUCACCUCCCUCUCUUUCUCCUUCUUUAUAAUCCACUUCGUAUUUGCCUGAGUCUGAGGGACGUUCUCGAUCUCCUCCUCGUGCUUGCCUGAGUCUCUGCGGGAAGAAAGGCAGACAGAGGAUAGUUGGUUGUGCGGCUGUGCGAUUGACAUAAAAAUUCACGAGUUUGACGUUGCAAAGCUUUCAUCCAAAGUUUGGCUUAUUGACUUCCUUCACAAUCUCAUCCUGCAAAAGUUUAUCAACAAUCAAACAAUCAGAAAGGGACAAAACAAUGCUUAAAAUGGGUUUGCAUUAGGAUCACAAUCUGAAGAAUUCAUAAGUCUGAGAGGAUACGCCAAGGUUGAACAACUGAGCAUAUCUGAGCUGAAUGAGUUCGUCAUCACAGCCGAGCCUCAGGAAAUUGAAUUUAUCUUGACUGGAUAGGUGACUGGAAUCAAGAUGGACAAAGGCUGGUGUUACAUUUCCUGCUCCAGGUGCACAAAGAAGCUCCAAAGAACUGUCUCAUCUUCUACUUGCGAAUCCUGCAGCAACACAAGCAUUGUUGGAGUACUUCGUUAUAUUGGAUACCCUGUUUUUCCCGUUUUGAAAAUUCUUGCAUACAAUCAACAUGGUUUUCAUACAAUUUAUUGCAAGGUACCUGGUGGAGAUUAGCAUUACUGACGACACAGAUGAGGGUCUACUUGUGGCUUCCGAUGGAGAGAUGACAGUAAAUAUAUAACUGUUUCAUAUCUUAUCGCAUACGAAGCUGGUCAUUUAAUGGUAUGUAGCAUCAUCCAACCGGUUUCAUAUCUUAUCACAUAUCUUUGCAACCACAGCGUUUAACUUAUAGGCUGGAGAGGGAGUUAACCCAACACAAGCAUCAGCCGCCUCUUUUAUUGCACAUAGUUGGUAAGACAUACAGCUUCUAGGUCAGGGUAGGCAUGUAAAACUUCACUGCCAACCAGCAGCCCUUCACUAUCUCUUGCGUGAACGAGCGUGACUGUCUGCCACUGCCUGACUUUGUCGUCAACCAUGGUGACGAUGAUGAUGGAGACGACUUGCCUGGGAACAUCUCAGCUCUUCCUAACGUUGGCAUCGAAGGUAACGAACGUGCAGAAACCUCAUCUGCAGGAACAACCUCCAGUGGUCCUGCCACCAAGAAGCCUCGCCUUUCAACAACUUUGGAUGUGGUCAAGAAGGCAUGACAGUCUUAAGUGAACAUGGAGUUUCUCGAGUCAGUUUUCCUCUUUGAAUAAUGCUUAGGCAACAAUGUUUUUAUUUUUUAUUUUUCUUCUCAUCUGGAGUUUGCUAUG